AAAUGACGGUACCUGACUAAGAAGCCCCGGCUAACUACGUGCCAGCAGCCGCGGUAAUACGUAGGGGGCAAGCGUUAUCCGGAUUUACUGGGUGUAAAGGGAGCGUAGACGGAUGGACAAGUCUGAUGUGAAAGGCUGGGGCUCAACCCCGGGACUGCAUUGGAAACUGCCCGUCUUGAGUGCCGGAGAGGUAAGCGGAAUUCCUAGUGUAGCGGUGAAAUGCGUAGAUAUUAGGAGGAACACCAGUGGCGAAGGCGGCUUACUGGACGGUAACUGACGUUGAGGCUCGAAAGCGUGGGGAGCAAACAGGAUUAGAUACCCUGGUAGUCCACGCGGUAAACGAUGAAUGCUAGGUGUCGGGUGACGAAGUCAUUCGGUGCCGCCGCAAACGCAUUAAGCAUUCCACCUGGGGAGUACGUUCGCAAGAA
rnacentral:rRNA from 1 species